CUAAGGAUCCAACAGGAGGUGACCCACAUCAAGCCGAUCGUGGACAAUGGCGAAAGCGCAGCAAAAUUGUGCCUCUUCUAAUGUGGUUCCGAUGAGAAGAGGCCAUAAAAUAUUUGUCAAAAAGCUGGGCUGAUUCAAUAAUAAAGCAGGAUCAGUGCUGGCUGCAAGUGCAUAUCAAAUGAAGUGGUAUGAAGCUUUCACCAUCGUCUCAGAGGGGUGUUUCUGACCAUCCAACCCCAGAAGUGACUUGGAGCCGCGUGAACAGACUUGGUCCUCGGACGGAGUACAUGACACUAGAUUUUUAAAUCCAAUAGUUUAUUAUCAACUGAUUACAUAGAAAAUGAUGCAAUAAAAACAUUUUAUUUUGUUUUAUUUCA